ensembl:lncRNA
AUGAGUAAUGAUGAAACAAAUAAAUCAGACGAUGCACAAGCAGCUUCUGAUCCGAUCCUCUGCAACCUUUGAAUGAGCUCAGGGACGACGUGGGGAAAGAAAUCAGGGCGCUGGAGGGAAUUGCGAGCCAGUACAUGUUACGAAUUUAGAAAUCAUGAAAGCAGUAAAAAGAAACUCAACAAUUCUCCUUUUGGGGUCUCUAGAGAAGCGCUGGCUUUAGCUGCUCCCCGUGCCACAUGGCCCCAUCCAGGGGCCCCAACACACCCAGGAGAUGCUACGUGCUGUGUCUCUUGGGGGUUUAUUGAAAACUUCGACCCACACAUCGCCAACAUCACAUUAAUACGUCUAUCGGCGCUGAGGAGGCAGCGAGGGAUGAAACCAUUACCCGCCGGUGAAGACAAAGCGGCGGGGCAGAUAUGAGCCUGGAGAAGUCCUGGAGAAGUCCUGGAGAAGAAGCAGCCGGUGUUUUUGAAGUGUUUCUUUAAAGGCCACAACCCUGGAGGAGUUCCUGAGAGCCGUCCUGCACAGCGCAGCACGUCACGGCCUUCCAUGCAGUAUUUCAUGUCCCCGUCUGCCCCCUGCAGGCCCUGCUGCUGUGAUUUAGAGCCAGAUGAGAGAGGAGGACGCAGGAGGCCCUGGAUGAAGGAAUGCUUCCACCCUUCCUGAUGUUAACUGCCCCACUGGGAGGAACACCAGCAGGGACCUCUAAGGAUGCGACACUGCAGAGCUUUCACUCAAAACCCCCACGUCAGGUCAUACUUUUUAGAGGUGCUCUAAAUCAGUGGCGCACAACCUCCGAGUCAUUCGUGUGCAAAAUAUAAAAAAUGUUUUGAAUUUGGAAAAAUGGCGGCAUCCUCUCCCAAUUACAUGUGCUUGGUCCUGUUUUUGGUCUGACGCUUUACUGCUUGGUUGUACAAUGUUUUCAUUAUAAUCCUACAAACAACGUAACAGCUUUUGCCUGGUCAGCGUCAGCCAGAACUAUUGCUGUUUGCUUGGGGGUUCAAAUACUUAUUUUCUGCAUCAAAUGCAAAUAAAGUCA